rnacentral:rRNA from 1 species
GGGCCCGCACAAGCGGUGGAGCAUGUGGUUUAAUUCGAUGCAACGCGAAGAACCUUACCUACUCUUGACAUCCAGAGAACUUUCCAGAGAUGGAUUGGUGCCUUCGGGAACUCUGAGACAGGUGCUGCAUGGCUGUCGUCAGCUCGUGUUGUGAAAUGUUGGGUUAAGUCCCGCAACGAGCGCAACCCUUAUCCUUGUUUGCCAGCGAGUAAUGUCGGGAACUCCAGGGAGACUGCCGGUGAUAAACCGGAGGAAGGUGGGGACGACGUCAAGUCAUCAUGGCCCUUACGAGUAGGGCUACACACGUGCUACAAUGGCGCAUACAGAGGGCGGCCAACUUGCGAGAGUGAGCGAAUCCCAAAAAGUGCGUCGUAGUCCGGAUCGGAGUCUGCAACUCGACUCCGUGAAGUCGGAAUC